UUUGAUUUUGAUGAUUCAAAAAUCAUGUAAAACCAUUAGCAAUUAAACCCUAAAAGUGCAAAUUUAAAGCAAGUGCUUCAUUUUUAUUACACAAUUGAAAUGGAACUAAUAAAAGUCAGAACACAAGCAACAUUACAGAAAAAAACGACAGAGACAAUAAUAUGAAAACAGGAAAACAGAGAAACUAAUAACGUGUCUGGAAAAGCAGACUUAUUACAAAGACAAAGGUUCACAACCACACUUAAACUACUCUUCUUCAACUUCAUCUUUCCAACACUUCAGAGUUGAUCUAGGUGAAACACAGUCACUAAUCUUGACGAAUCUUUGGUAGACAACAGAACCACCCAUUCCAAGCCCUUCGUGGCUCCACUCUUCACGACAGUAUCCCUUCACAUCCACAAAAAACAUAUGUUCAAAGGGCUUGCUUCCACCAUCCGCAUGAAUUGCUACAGAAAAUUCAUUCGGAAGGAAACAUGACAAAACCCUGUCUACCAACUCGUUCAGGUUCACAACUUUAAAGUCGUAGCCCACAGUCUCAAAGCUUGCAUAACUGAAUCCAUCUUCAGGAGUAAUAUGAAUGGUAGAAACAGCACCCCCUUCAACAGAAUUCAUUGAAUAACCACAUGGCUCAAAGUCGAAAUCGCAUAUCUCAGAAUUCGGAAGAAUCUUUCUGAUGCCAGAGUUAACAGUCAUCAUGGCAGCUGAAGCAGAUUGUUCUUUGUAGAAAAUUUGUGCUUUCUCUCUAUCAAGGCCCGUCAUACACAUCUCUAGAGUAUAAAUAUUCUUGUCGGAUGACAUUACAGAAUCAGCAGAUGCAGAAUAGAUAUGCCAUUUCUGCUUUUUGUCUGGACUACCCAUUAUAUAAGCCAUGCUCCCUAAUCCAAGUUUCCCAAAGUAGUCAUUAAGGAUUGCUACUUCCUCGGUAAAGCAGCGAUGGGGAUAUGGCUGAGCACCAGGAAAGAUGAAACUUCCCCUGGUAUACGUUACAGACCUAACUUUAAGAGAAAGCAUAUCAGCGAACUUCAGUAUGGGCGGGAUUGCAAGAAGUAACUUUGUAGUCCCACAGGUUUUGAUGAUGAUCUUGUACGCAUAAACAAAGAGGCUGGACUCAGACAGUACAUAGGAGUCAACAUCAUCAUUUGAGAGCGAAGAGACUAUGGUGCAAGCAGCUGGUGUUAGGAUCUCAUCCAACUGGGAUUUCGUAAGAACUCUUAAACCCCUUCCUUCAGGGUCAGCAAAUAUUCCUGGUUGGGAAAAGCAUAUUUCCAACCUCUUUUCAUAACCUUCAAAACCUAUUGCAGAAACUGCCAUGGUCGUGUUUCAGGAGAGAAACGAACGCAGUAGGAAACGGCACAGAGUAUCUCAAAGAGAGCAAUUGGAAAGAUGGAGUUUGAAGGAGAGUAGUGAAAACCUAAACGAAAACAAAACAAACAAAAAACUAAUAAAACACUGCUUGCAUGCAAUGAACUAUCAAUCGAAGGAGGUAUCAGGAUGGCUUGCGAGCGCACUGCAAAACAACAAACAAAAAUAGCUAUUAGCUUGUAUCAACAAAUUUUCAACUACG
rnacentral:lncRNA from 1 species